rnacentral:rRNA from 1 species
CCUACGGGAGGCUGCAGUGGGGAAUAUUGGACAAUGGGGGGAACCCUGAUCCAGCCAUGCCGCGUGUGUGAAGAAGGCCCUCGGGUUGUAAAGCACUUUCAGUGAGGAAGAACGCCUGGUGGUUAAUACCCAUCAGGAAAGACAACACUCACAGAAGAAGCACCGGCUAACUCCGUGCCAGCAGCCGCGGUAAUACGGAGGGUGCGAGCGUUAAUCGGAAUUACUGGGCGUAAAGCGCGCGUAGGUGGCUUGAUAAGCCGGUUGUGAAAGCCCCGGGCGCAACCUGGGAACGGCAUCCGGAACUGUCAAGCUAGAGUGCAGGAGAGGAAGGUAGAAUUCCCGGUGUAGCGGUGAAAUGCGUAGAGAUCGGGAGGAAUACCAGUGGCGAAGGCGGCCUUCUGGACUGACGCUGACACUGAGGUGCGAAAGCGUGGGUAGCAAACAGGAUUAGAUACCCUAGUAGUC